CCUACGGGGGGCUGCAGUAGGGAAUCUUCCACAAUGGGCGAAAGCCUGAUGGAGCAACGCCGCGUGGGUGAAGAAGGCCCUCGGAUCGUAAAACUCCGUUGUUAGAGAAGAAAGUGCGUGAGAGUAACUGUUCACGUUUCGACGGUAUCUAACCAGAAAGCCACGGCUAACUACGUGCCAGCAGCCGCGGUAAUACGUAGGUGGCAAGCGUUAUCCGGAUUUAUUUGGCGUAAAGGGAACGCAGGCGGUCUUUUAAGUCUGAUGUGAAAGCCUGAGGCUUAAACGGGGUAGUGCAUUUGAUACUGGGAGGCUAGAGAGCAGACGAGGUGAGUGGAACGCAAGGUGUAGCGGUGAAAUGCGUAGAGAUA
rnacentral:rRNA from 1 species